rnacentral:rRNA from 1 species
AACGAACGCUGGCGGCAGGCCUAACACAUGCAAGUCGAACGCUCUAGCAAUAGAGAGUGGCGCACGGGUGCGUAACGCGUGGGAAUAUGCCCUUGACUACGGAACAACGUCGGGAAACUGACGCUAAUACCGUAUAAUGUCUUCGGACCAAAGAUUUAUCGGUCAAGGAUUAGCCCGCGUCUGAUUAGCUAGUUGGUGAGGUAACGGCUCACCAAGGCGACGAUCAGUAGCUGGUCUGAGAGGAUGAUCAGCCACACUGGGACUGAGACACGGCCCAGACUCCUACGGGAGGCAGCAGUGAGGAAUAUUGGACAAUGGAGACAACUCUGAUCCAGCCAUGCCGCGUGAGUGACGAAGGCCUUCGGGUUGUAAAGCUCUUUCAGAUGCGAAGAUAAUGACGGUAACAUCAGAAGAAGCCCCGGCUAAAUUCGCGCCAGCAGCCGCCGUAA